UCCCCACACCCAGCAGCAGCCGAAAUCCCUCCCCCCCAAACCAAAAAAUCAGCAGCAAACACAUACGGUUUCCUUUCUCUUUUCCAUGAAAGGUUUCCUUUCUCUUCUCCAUGAAAGGAAAGAAGCCGAAACAGAAAAACGGAGAGGAGGGGGAAGAAACGCGCCGGCCAGGGGAGGAGGGCUUCUGAGAGAGCUGAGGGGAAGAGAGGGAGCUUCACCCGCGCCGUCAUCCAGCCGUCGUCCGGUCCGUCUUCACCGGCGUCCCACUGCCGUCGCUGGGGAGACCGCACGCCUUCGAGGUUCCUGCCACCGCCUUGGAGUCCGCCGUCAGGUCGAGUCGAAGGAAGAGAGAGGAUCGGGGUCAGCGUCGCGACCAGAGGGGAGAUCUGAGAGAGAAGGAAGAGGAGGCCGUGCUCCCGCCACCGUCCGCCGCGUCUUGCCUGCGCCGUCAUUCACGCGCGUCGCCGCCGUCAGGAGCAGAACCACGAAAGGGAGGGGAAGAACGCCGUUGAGAGGGGAACCGUGAGCUGCGAGCCACGGACUGAGAAGAAGCUCCACCGUCGUUGCAGCUGGAGGAGUUCCGUGCGUCGCCUCCGAGGGUUGCCGCUGGUGGGGAGAAGACGCAGUCGCCUCACGCUGCUGCCACCAUCUGAGCUCGCUGCUGCCGCUGAUGAUGGUAAGCCUAAACCGCCGCCGGAAAAGGGUUCAGGCCGCCGCAGAGGUCGCUGUCGGAGUAGGAAGCUGCGUCUCUGUGAUUCUGACUGCCGGGACUGGUUCUGUGACUUCCGGGACCACCGCCGGAGCUUCUGGCUGUUUCUGCCAUCGCCGGAAAUUUCUGCCGUUGUCGUGAUCGGAAUUCGUCGCCGCUGCCGCUUGAGGUGGCUGCCGGGCUACUGACGAGCCGGCUCGGAGACCACCGCUGUUUCGUUUCAGCCAUUCUCCCUCUGUCUUGGGUUGUGUAUCGAUGCCUGCGUGUCGUGCUCGGGUUCGCGACUGCUUCGUUUCGCUAGUUCGAGUUGUUGUGGUUGCUGCGAAGGUGGCUUAGAGCUGAGGUUGCGGUUGUCGGUGAUUUCGGGUUGAGAGAGAGGAUUCCUGUGACUCGUUUGGUUUAUGUGUUCGACAAGUUGAGAACGCAGGACUAGUACGUCGAGCACGACAUCAGCGUCGCUGUCGUAGUGUUUGUAAGUUGGGACCAUAUGAAGAUAGGUCCUCUAGCCGCCGCCAAGACAACCACCUCGUUAUCGUUAGCUUGCCACCGUGACCUUGUUCCUUGAAAAAAACUGAAGGACAAGAUUGCUGAGUUUCAGGUUAGUUUAUCUAAACUUAUCUCUUUUGUUUUAGAAUUGUGUUUAGUUCGUUUGUAUAUAAUGUGUCUUAACUCACGCAAAUUUAAUAUAUGUAUAUAAGAAAAUGUUAUGUCAUAAUUGUUUAUGAGAUUUUGUUUUAUUAAAUAUGUUGGAUGUUAGAAGUUGCCGUUGCCAAUAAGUAAGGUUUGAAAUUUUAUAUUUUGAAUUGUAGGUAUGAAAUUGACUACAUACAAGAUUAACAUUAGAUAGAAGCUAAUAUCAUUUUAUUUGAAAAUUUAAGACCAAAAGCUUAAAAUGGAUUUGACACAAAUGGAUACUAUCCAUUCCUAAUUUGAUAAGCACUAACAAGACAAACAUGGUAGGAUUUGACACAAAUGAAUUUUUAUGAGUUACACUAUGUCUAUAUAAAGAGGCAGGAUUCAAAAUGAAAAAUUCUAAAGCCCAAUUCUUUGCAUACUUAAACCUGGUAAACAUUAAAAAGAAUAAUCCCGCUUGUCAAAAGAUCUAUCUCUAUUAAGUCAAAUCUUUCAGCAUCAAUUUUCUUUCACAUUCUAUACGGUUUACGGGAUAUUUUCUCAUAGCCGCCGUCUUCCCAUGAUGAUUCCCAACUAUUUUUUAUAAUAAAAUAUUCUUCCUGUCUUCCGUGGAUGAUUUUACUUUCACGGCCAACUACCAAAACAAUGUGGUUAUUCUCUAUUCAAUUCAGCUGCUCUAGUUGGACCACGGUACAUAACAACCUAUGUAAUAAAAUAAAAUAAAAUUUAGUAUCAUAAAAAUACGAAAUAAAUUUUAUAUAAAUAUUAUACUUACAGGUUUUAAACCAUUAAUUCAGAUGUAGCAAUGAUGUCAAUAAUUGGUUGAGUCACCAAUGUGAAACUUAUAUUCAGGUUAUAUAAAUAAAUAUAACAUAUAAGAAUUAAAAAAAAAAAGAAAAAAAAGUAAAAAACAUAUUACCAGUUAAAUUCAAUUUAUUUUACCAUAGUGGAUAAAAAAUUUUAUUAAAUUAAUAAUAAUAUCUCAUUAAAUUAUAUCUUUCUAUUGAUUAUAUUUGGUUGCGUACAAAUGGACAGAUUCUUUCGGUUACACAUCCAUUGUCCAACGUUCAAUAGAGAGCAUGACUAACACUCAAUGCAAAACCCCCUUUCUCAUCAAGUGGACCAAGAGGGAAUUCAUAGACCAACUCCCGAACUUGAGCUCUCCUUAUUUUCUCAUAUUCUUCAUUUCUAAAAAAAUUGUUAAUCAUGUUUUGUGGACAGAUGAUGAUUUCUUCUUGCUAAUUGAGUUUAUCUCUUAGAUUAAAAGUAACCUUUAUAAGACCAGCAAUCGCUAUAGCCCAACAAAUAUCGAAAAAAAAUUAUUUAGCAUUCAAUAAAUAAUUUAAUGAGAAAUCAAUAAAUAAUUUAUUGAAUGCUAAAUAAUUUUUUAAAUUUAGUUAUUUGUUGGGCUAUGUCGGUUACUGGUCUUAUAGAGGCUACUUUUAAUCUAAGAAAUAAACUCAAUGAUCAAGAAAAAAUCACCAUCUCUCCACAAGACAUGAUUAACAAUUUUUUGAGGGAUGAAGAUUAAGAAUAUGAGAAAGUAAAGAGAGUUUCGGUUCCGGAGUUGGUAUGUGGAUUUUCUCUUGGUCCACUUGAUGAGAUGCGGGGUUUUGCAUUAAGUGCACGUCAUGCUCUUUAUUGGACGUUGGACAAUAUGGAUGUGUAAAUAAAAGAAGCUGUCCAUUUGUAGGCAGAAAACAACUAAAUACAAUCAAUAAAAAGAUAUAAUUUAAUGAGAUAUAAUUAUUAAUUUAAUAGAAUUUUCUAUUCAUUAUAGUAAAAUAAAUUGAGUUUAAUUGGUAAUAUGUUUUUUUAUUUUUUUUAAUUCUUAUAUGUUGUAUUUAUUUAUACAGCCUGAAUAUAAAUUUCGCACUUUUCAUUAUGUAAGAAGUAUAUGGACACAUUGGAGACUCAACCAGUUGUUGCUGACAUCAUUACUACACUUGAAUUUAAUGGUUUAAGACCUGAAAGUAUAAUAUUUAUAUAAAAUUUAUUUUUUAUUUUUAUGAUAUUAAAUUUUAUUUUAUUUUAUUACAUAUGGUGAUAUGUACUGUGGUCCAGCUAGAGCAGCUGAGGUUAUAAGGAUAGAGAAUAAUCACAUUGUUUUGGUAGUUGGCCAUUGAAGUAAAAUCAUCCAGGGAAGAAGAGAAGAAUAUUUUAUUAUAAAAAAUAGUUGAGGAUCAUUAUGGGUAAACGACGACUAUGGGAAAAUAUCCCGUAAACCAGAUAGAAAUCGUAUAGAAUGUGAAAGAAAAUUGAAGCCGGAAGAUUUGACUUAAUAGAGAUGGAUCUUUUGACACGCGGGAUGAUUUCUUUUAAUAUUUAUGAGGUGUAAGUAUGUAAAGAGUUGGACUUUAGAAUUUUUUAUUUUGAACUUUGUCUCUUUAUACAGACAUAGUGUAACUCAUAAAAAUUCAAAUCUUAUGCACAAUAUUAUUAAAAAAAUUCAGCAGCUUGUUGGUGCUCAUCAAAUUAGGAAUUGAUAGUGUCCAUUUGUGUCAAGUCUAUUUUAGACUCUUGGUCCUAAAUUUUCAAACAAAAUUAUAUUAGCUUCUAUCUAAAUUUAUUUUUGUAUGUAGGUCAAUUUCAUAUUUAAAAUUCAAAAUAUAAAAUUCCAAAUCUUACUUAUUAGCAACGGCAACUUCUAACAUCCAACGUAUUUAAUAAAACAAAAUCUCACAAACAAUUAUAACAUUUUUUUAUAUACAUAUAUUAAAUUUGUGUGAGUUAAGACACAUUAUUUACAAACGAACUAAACAUAAUUUUAAAAUAAAAGAGAUAAAUUUAGACAAACCAAAUUAAAACUCAGCUAUCUUGUCCUUAAGUUUUUUUUUUUAAGGAAGUCCAAAAGAGUUUAAUACAACAGAUAGAUAGAGAUAACAUUAGUCAAAAACAUUAAGCAAAUAAUAAUUAUUGUAUAAUACUAUUACUUUAGAAGUCCAAUACUGUGAUCCAAUAUUAUAGGUAGAUUUCACUUUCUGCUAUCUUGUCCUUUCAAAACAUUAUUGAAUCCUUUCAAUAAACUUUGUAAGAAAUUUAGUAUUAAUUAAAGAAUUCUCUCUUUAAUCUAGUAUACAAAAGUUGAAAAAUUUUGAUAAUAAAAAAAAUAUUCGUACUAUUUUUUUUCUUUUUCUUUAAAUUUUUUUUUAAAAAAAACUUGUUCCCUUCCAUAAACCAAAACAAAACUUGUUCAUCUUCUCUUCUUUUGCAAGCUAACGAUAACGAGGAGGUGGUUGUCUUGGCGGCGGCUAGAGGACCUAUCUUCAGAUGGUCCUGCAUUGGCAAAAGAAGAGAAGAUGAGAACACAGUGGAAAAGAAGAUGCUGGUCCUGUGUUGGCUAAACGGCGACUCACCUAGCUUACAAACGCCAAUGUCGUGCUGGUCGUGCGUUCUGCGAUGGGAGAAGAUGAGUGGCUACUAACUCCAACCUGCGACGGCAACUCACCCAACUCACGGUGGCUACCAUGGCAACAACGAGGUGAUGGUCCUGGCGCGGGCGACGGAGUAGCGGCUCCAGCUGAGAAUAUGAUGGUUUCCUAAACCGAGAAUAUGUGCAAAUGGGAUAAGUAGAUAAUUGAACCCUAAUUUAAUUUGGUAAAGGGUAAACUUGGAAUUAGCAAUUUUGAAUGUGGGUAUUUUGGACA